AUCCAGCUGACGAGUCCCAAAUAAGGCGAAACGCAUGUCCUAGAU
rfam:Schistosoma rodhaini strain Burundi genome assembly, scaffold: SROB_scaffold0000378